AGUAAGUGCUAUAUACUCUAGAAACAGCAAUGCAAAUAAUCAAGGUUAAAACAUUCAAAUUUGUAGUUUGGUCAUUGUAAACGCUCAUCGACACGUUUGUUCAUCCCCGUCAAAUCUACUUCAAUUUACCCGGCUGUCAGUCAUAGACAGAAGGACGGUCCACAGUACCUUACCUAGCGAUAAUUAAGUUUUUUGUGGAGCAUGUGGGGCAUUUAUAAAAGAUGGAGCAACUUAUUUUCACUGCCACGCUGCUCGAAGUGGAAAUAGUCGUUUUUGCUUUAUCAGGCAAAGCUUGAAUAUGUAUUUGGGGUACACUUCGAGGCUCUUAUAGGGAAGUAAGAACAGCUUCACUGCAGCUUUUUGACGCUGGAACAGGUGACCAACAGGAGAGAAAAAUGAAAAACUGUCAGCCAUCACAGAACAACAGAUGGAGGUGCACGACAGGAUAUUGCUUCUAAGAGGAUUCCUGUUUCUUUCCCUGUCACGCUGGACAUUUUUGUGGGGACAGACUCUUUCAUCGUGACCCAACUCAAAUGGCUUACUGGAACUGGUGUAGAGUUGAUGGUUAAGCCCUCUAAAAGCCACCACUACCCGUGUUGACCUGCUUGGCAAACAGAAUUUCGCGAUCAUAUCUGCUGUGAAUAACAUUUAAAUAAGUAACCAGGUGGGAUUAGAAAGUACUGGUGUUCUCCUAAAUCUCUGAACUCUGACGUUACCCUAAUAACUCUAAGGUAUGUGCCAGCUUUUUGCAUGUUAAUGGCCCGGUAUCAAAUUUUCUUUUGUCUUUAGGACUACCGUAACACCCUUACAAGAAGCAGUGGUUCCCUCACAUCAGCAUGUAGUUAGAAUAUCAAAUGCAGGAAUAUUUGCUCCUGCAUGUGAACAAAUAUGCAGGCAGACAUUGUGAUAUUCACAUUUCUACAAAGAAUCUACAAAGAAUCAUUUCUAGAAAGAAGUUUAAAAGACAAAUAUUUGAUCACUGACUCUAACUAUUAUAAGCAUUACAACACAAUUAGCAUUUUUUUUUUACUGUUAUGGAUGCACCACCAUUAUCAUUAAUAGUAACUUUUUUAAUUAGGAAAAUAAAAUAUUAGUUGUUUACUGUGCAUAACAGCAACCGAGUGAUGUAAAUCGAAAAAAAAAACGGAAAAAUUCUCAAAAAUAAUUUAUGACAAAUUUAUCUGUGGACGUUUCGAGCUCUACUAAUGACAUAAUGUACAAUUUCUAAGAUAGUGAGACGCUGUAACAUAUUUACUAUAUAUGGAUUAAUUUUAUCAUUUUGGAGUGUAAAAUAUUUUAUUACUUCAGUCAUAAAGAUAUUCUGAAAGUUUGUAUUUAAAAAAAGGCAACUGAGGGCAGACGCUUGAUUUCUUCUUUUGUUCUGGCCGCAUCUUUAUUGCAGAAGCCCUCUCUCAUGGCACACAGAGCAUGCUGACGUGCUGAGCCUGUAAUCUGUUUUAUCUCCAUGCACUAAAGGAAAAACGAGCUGUUUUUUCACUUGCACAGAAAGCUAUAUAGUUACAUACAGGUGAAGCUAGAACUUUAUUAAUCAUAGUGACUGAAAAGUGAGUUUUAACUUAUUAAUUUUUAAAAAAAUUCAAAGUGGUGUUUACAUACUGCAUGAUUAUGGUAACCUGGUAUGUAAAUCGGCAUAAAUAGGAGAUGUAUAUACUUACACAUCAUCUUGUGUCUUUAUGAGGAAAUAUCCAGCAUAUUGUAUGAUUAUCGGGAUCGUUCCGAGUUAUUAAGGUCAUAUUAAAAGUUUUACCAACUGUCCAGAGUAAUGUAGCAGUUCAGUUUACCACAGUAGUAACAUAAAUGUCCUUCUUAGCUUUUGUAAUACUAUUUUUGACUGAAUUUAAUUUAAAAGCAUUAUAUCUUAUACCUUAUAUCGCAUUAGUGAUUUCACACAACUGACUGACCUCCUAAGGCGAAUGUAGGUUUUCACGCUUGCACAGUUCAAUGAAUAUCUAAUAAAAAUUCUACAGUCAUGUAAUGACUUCAUGGGGAUCUAGAUAUAGAUGCUUUUCCUGUCGGAAAACAUGAAAAUGGUUAAUUUAACUUGGUUGCUGCUCUGAGAGAUAUUGCCUCUUUACUGUAUUUCCUUUGUAUUUAACCUAGACCCUAAGAGGAAGGAGGGGAACUCAGAAUCUCCUGGGGGACCCAAUUAUAUUUUCUCCUGUGUUCUCUGCAAUAUAAUGACUUUGCAACAAGAUCAUUUUUACUGCCUCUGUUUUAUUUUCUUCUGAUUUUAUCUCAGUAGACAUAAGAAAUUAAGCUUAUUUUACUCAAGGACCAUUUCUCUGGCCCCCUUAUCCUGUUUCAUUUUAUAGUUUUUACCUAAUGACCACUAUAACAGGCUAUGAGGGACUGUCCUGCUGCCUGUGGUAGCAGGUCAGUGCUCGAGGUAAAUUAUUCUAUUUCACAAACUGUUAUUCAAUUCAUGCUAUAAACAAUGAUCGCUGUCUUUUAAGGUUGGCCCGGAGCAACUCCAAAUUCAGUGGUGAACAGUUCCCCUGCAGAUCAUCAUGUUGAAUUCAGCCAUAACUUUUCAUGCAGUCAGUCAUAAAGUUUCAGCUUGAACAGACGUGGUAGGUUUCCAAACCCAAUAGCUUGUGGCUAGAUUUUUCUUUGCAGUCUAGCACAAAUCGCUGACCACAGACCAGACCAGAAUUUGUCUGGAGGCUUUAAGGAUCCUCAGAUGUUCAACAGAGUUAACUUGCCAAAUAUAUAGGAAUUAUAUUUAAUGCUUAUGAAGUCUAUAAAAAGCAACAUACAAUUUAAAAUGUAUGUGAUUACAACAAAUUGGACAUGUACUUGAUUUAACAAGCCAAUACACAAACAUGUCCUGGUUAUAUGAAGAAUAAGUACAAACAGUGACGCAUUCAAAUGUGGGUGGUGGCGCUGCACUGUGUAUUAGUGUCUAGGCAUACACAUUUAUGCGUUGUAUAAGCAUGCACGCAAGUGUCCAAAUGCCACUGCAUGUAAACGUCUGUAUUUGGAGAGGGAACAGAGAGGGCUAAAGUACAGAGCAGAGUGAGGAAAUAGAGCAGAAGAAUAGAGGCCUGACGUAAAGAAAUCCUGGAUAAUUCUGCCCUAAGAUGUGUGAGGGCUACAAAGAGCAGAACGCAACAUCCAGAGGUUGUUCCCAUGGCAACCUUUGCCCAGGGAGAUCACUGACCCUCCCGCCCUGCAGUGCAAGCGGGGGCACAGAUUGUAGGUCACAUAUGGCACCAGUGAUCCAAUCAGGUCUAAUCUGGCUUGACUUUUAGGUCAUAAAUUAUACUGGCAAGCUGGUAUAUAUUCAGGCUUCAGUCAGCUUAGCUGUCUAACAAUGGCUGCUUUAAAAGACAAGUUGAUGAACUGACCCAUUAAGUAGGAAUGUAAACAAAUGUACAUUUAGUCCGUCAUUAUGGAACACAUACAGAUCGAGAGCAUAAGCAAAGCAUAAAAAGCACCAUCAUAGUGAUCUGUUGAGUUGGCUAAAUGCAAUACAGUAAAAGAGCAAUUCAGCAAAAGACGGCUUUGCAUUGUUACACAUGCUGAUUACGUCUAUUAAACAAUAUACACAUGUACCAAACAUGUAAUAUGUCCAACAUCACAGAAAUGAUCACAUGCACAGUAUUUCUACAUUAAAAUAUAAAUGUGAAUGUCAGUUUCUAGGUCAUUGUCUUUUCUGCAAUAUUGUAUUAAAAAUAAGGUUUUUUAAGUAUUUAAAAGAUAUAAUGCUGGUAAAAGGUUACCUUGAAAUAUUUUUUGAUCUUUUUUUAAGCCAAAAUACACACUUUUUUUUUUUUUUUACAACAGCAGAGUUAACAGUUAUUUGGUAUUUGUGAGAGCUAGUGUCAUUUAAAGUAGUCAACACCGAAUGUGGAUAAAAAGCAUUUUUUAACACUUGUGAUAUCUAAAAAUUCAAUAAGAAGUAAUGUGUUAUUUGCAUAUGAUUAUUGUCAUAAAUUUAGGACAUGUAACGUUACUAAUCUGGGCUGUGGAAACCCCACAAAGGGAAAUGAGAAAUGCCCGUUGGCGCAGGAAUUGCGUGUUGGUAUUUCACAAUGUUUAAAUGAAUUAUAAUGCCCCUACCAAAGUUCUUGUACCAUAUCUGCACACAUAUGUAAUUCAUGAUGACCUCAGUAUCACCAGUGUGAGAAACUGUGGGGGAAGCCUUUUUUCUGGAUGUGGAUGUUAGAUGCCGGUGGUCAUGCAGCAGAAACACAGAUAUGAUAUGAAUGAUUCAUACACAAUGUUCCUGGAAUAUUGGAAUAGGGCGCCUGGCCAUCAUCAAAUGGGCUUUGUAGUUAUAUGUGCCUUUGCAAAGAGUUUCCAGACACAAGAAAACACACACACAUACACAGAUACAUCAUUGUGAACUAAGCUUUUAAAUCCUAGUUUAAGUUGGGGUUGUUUCAUGGUCUGGAUCAUCUGAAUUUUCUUAGCACUCACUUAUGCAUUAAUAAAGCAGAUGUUAUGUGUGGUAUAUUUGCUGCAUAUUUAAUGGACAUUUUUUUUGUUGUUGCCUCAGGUUCUAUAUUUUGCUUAUAUUUAUUGUGUCUAAUGUAUGUUUCCCCAUGUUUAUGCAUAUCUUUUUCUGUUUUUCAGUUUAAAUCAUGUUAAGAAAAAUGUAAUGAAAUGUGCAACAUAAAUAGCAUUUCUGUUCGAUUACACUUUAUGUAUUCGGGUCAAACUCAGUCUGAUCUCGAACCAUCUCUACUCACUCACUGCCCCGUGGUUUGCGAUUUCAUGAGUGAGCUGGUAAUAAUCACGGGUGACUGGAUUUUCACCUUUUUGCUGAGAUCCAUACAUGAAGGCGCAGCUCCACUGUGAGACCUUGAGCUGCCAUAUGGGAAUGCCUGAAUUCUGAAGUCAGACAAGUCUUUACAUCUGCUUCUCAUUGCCUUAUCUGCAUCUUAUAUGCACCCAAGUAAAGGAAACCAGUGUAUAUUUAGCAGAAUUGCUGUAAUUAUUUUUAAAAAGCCAAAUAUGACAAAUUAUUGCAGUAUGAAGAGUGUUUAUAUGUUCUUUUUGGUGAUGGAUCUGUUACAGUGUUAGAAAUAAAUGGAAAUGGAAUGUAAUUUUAGACAUCUCAACAUAUUCAAGAAAAGCACCUGCAGGUGUUAAUAAAAUUAUACCAGUUCAGCGGUCCAGAAUGAA